CGUGCACCGGUGGGGUCCCUCAGCCUGGCCUGUGUGGUCUCGCAAUCCAGAACCCCUUGGGGGAUGUCGGAGAGCCAGUUUCAGCCAGAUCCUGCAGGCCAGGCUGAGGGACUCCAGUGGUGCAAA
rnacentral:pre_miRNA from 1 species